AGCUCCAAUAGCGUAUAUUAAAGUUGUUGCGGUUAAAAAGCUCGUAGUUGGAUCUCGGCGGGCAGAAGGCGGUAUACUUUUUAUUGUUACUGCCUUUUUUCCCCUAGUUUUUUCUCGAGGUUUCCGGGGGCUCUUUAUCGGGUGUUCUGGGAUGCUAGCAGGUUUACUUUGAAAAAAUUAGAGUGCUCAAAGCAGGCUACUACGCUUGAAUAUUCGUGCAUGGAAUAAUAGAAUAGGAAGUCGUUUCUAUUUUGUUGGUUUUCGGAAAUCGACUUAAUGAUUAAUAGGGACAGUCGGGGGCAUUUGUAUUCAAACGACAGAGGUGAAAUUCUUGGACCGUUUGAAGACAAACUACUGCGAAAGCAUUUGCCAAGAAUGUUUUCA
rnacentral:rRNA from 1 species